AUGGCAGAGGUCGAAGCUGCGCUCCCGGUGGCGGCGACAGAGACCCCGGAGGUCGCGGCCGAGGGCGACGCGGGUGCGGCCGAGGCGAAGGGGCCGCACAAGCUGCAGCGGCAGUGGACCUUCUGGUACGACAUCCAGACCAAGCCCAAGCCCGGCGCCGCCUGGGGCACCUCGCUCAAAAAGGGCUACACCUUCGACACCGUCGAAGAGUUCUGGUGCUUGUAUGAUCAGAUUUUCCGUCCGAGUAAGCUGGUAGGAAGUGCUGAUUUUCAUUUAUUCAAGGCUGGGGUAGAACCAAAGUGGGAAGAUCCAGAGUGCGCAAAUGGGGGCAAAUGGACUGUGAUAUCUAGCAGGAAGGCCAAUCUUGAUACCAUGUGGCUUGAAACGUGUAUGGCUCUGAUUGGAGAGCAGUUUGAUGAAAGCCAGGAAAUUUGUGGUGUUGUUGCUAGUGUCCGCCAGAGACAGGAUAAGCUUUCAUUAUGGACUAAGACUGCCAGUAACGAAGCUGUUCAGGUAGACAUUGGCAAGAAAUGGAAGGAGGUGAUUGACUACAAUGAUAAGAUGGUCUACAGCUUCCACGAUGACUCAAGAAGUCAGAAACCAAGCAGAGGUGGACGAUACACGGUGUAA
rnacentral:rRNA from 1 species